rnacentral:rRNA from 1 species
GCAAGUCGCGGGGCAGCAUUUCUAGCUUGCUAGAAGAUGGCGACCGGCGCACGGGUGCGUAACGCGUAUACAAUCUACCUAUUACUGAGGUAUAGCCCGAAGAAAUUUGGAUUAAGACCUCAUGGUAUUAUAGAGUCGCAUGAUUUUAUAAUUAAAGGUUACGGUAAUAGAUGAGUAUGCGUCCUAUUAGCUAGGUGGUAAGGUAAAGGCUUACCAUGGAUACGAUAGGGAGGGGUCCGGAGAGGGAGAGC